GACUGUUGGCACUUGAACGAUUGUACCAUGGUUCACUUGCGGACUAAAUAAUAACAAUAAUAAUGGUUGGUUCGAAGUUUCAUCAGUAACAGUUCCAGAUAUGCUUGAACGAAUCUUGGUUCUAAAGUUAUGCAACGUUCCAACAUCCUAAGAGCCUCCGGGCUUGAAGGAAGUGGUGCUCCGCCCUCCCCGAUGCCAGCACCAGCGUGCCCAAGUUAUUGUGGGCACUCGCGUAACUUGGCCACAAUCUGCACGGACAUUUUAGCAAAAAAAAUGUGUUUGUCAGCUCUGUCGUGCGACUGUAGUAUUUUACUGCUUCUCAAUAAAAAAAGAAGGUAAAUAAAUGCAUCUCUUUUAAAGCUGAAAUCGUGUUUGUACUUUUAUUCAUAUUAUGUAUAAAAUUGAUUCAAUAAAAUAUUAUGCAUAAAAA